UACGGAGGAUGCAGGCGUUAUCCGGAUUUAUUAGGUUUAAAGGGUGCGUAGGCGGGAUAGCAAGUCAGUGGUGAAAGCCUACAGCUUAACUGUAGAACUGCCGUUGAAACUGUUGUCCUUGAAUGCGGUUGAGGUGAGCGGAAUGUGUAAUGUAGCGGUGAAAUGCAUAGAUAUUACACAGAACACCGAUUGCGAAGGCAGCUCACUAAGCCGUGAUUGACGCUGAGGCACGAAAGCGUGGGGAU
rnacentral:rRNA from 1 species